GAAGCUGGACACUUAACCGACUGAGCCACCAGCUAAACUGGGCAUUGCAAGCCAGAAGUGGGAGACAGAAAGAAAACAAGAAGAGACUCACACAAAACUUAGGCGGUCAGGAUCUCUGAACUCCAAAUGCUGCUGAUUCACAGUGUCUCCUCUGACUAUGACCCUGACUUAUCUUUGCAAAAUUUGAAAUUCAUUUUCUCCAGAAUGAACACCCUUGGAUCUAAAGGCCUUCAUGCCAGAAAUGAAGAAGGAGCUGCAUGUUCAGAACAAGACAGACUUGCUGGGCCCGACCCACCUACUUCAGCCUUCUCAUUCAUGGUGAACCUCUACACUCUUCAUUCUUGUCUCCAGUCCCAAGAAAUGCCGGACAUCUUUUACCUUCAGCAGAUGCUAAACUCUAUCUGGCUCUGUCUAUCUUCUUUUAGGACUAAUUCCCUGAAACUCUUUCAUAAUUCAUUUGAGGACUUAGCUCACUCAUCAGUAAAAGCUCCUUUAUACUCA